rnacentral:SRP_RNA from 1 species
GCCGGGCGCGGUGGCGCGUGCCUGUAAUCCAGCUACUCCGGAGGCUGAGGCUGGCGGAUUGCUUGAGCUCAGGAGUUCUGAGCUGCAGUGGGCUAUGCCGAUCGGGUGUCCGCACUAAGUUCGGCAUCAAUAUGGUGAUCCCUGGGGGGCCACCAGGUUGCCUAAGGAGGGGUGAACCGGCUCAGGUUGGAGACGGAGCAGGUCCAAUCUGUUUCAUUGAAGUCAAAAUACACCAAUGGUUGUGUCUCUGCAUUGUAUCAGAGAAAUGUAAGUUAAGUCUUGAU